GAAGAGUAACACUUACAAAUCUGCACAUGAGUUUUCGCUAGAGUAUUGGUGCACCAAUAAGAUGGCUCAGAGUUGUCCCGCAUCUGGCUGAUGAAUAUCCUCCUGUUAAAGGGUGAAAGAAGAGAAAUGUUCUACAGAUUGCCUGGUGGACAGCUGCAGUGACACCACUAAGCACAUCCUCGAAAUCCUGGUUGUCCAUGGCCCUGUUGGAAAAGAUUCUUCCUUUAUUAAUGGAUGGGAUUGUUGAUGUACUGUCAUCACAGGAAGUAGUACACUGUACUGUAUCUUGGAUGCUAGGACAACCCAUUUCAGUUUUGAAUCUUGAACAUGAUUGUGAUACAUUGACACUCCCUGCUCCACUGGACACUUUCCUCACAUACAAGAGCUUGUAUUUUGGAUCUUCCACUGUCCAGACACAGAAUUGCUACAGUCUUCUUUAGAUUUAACUUUUCAAAACUUUAUGUUGGAUGUAUUAAAAUGGGCAGACCUUGUGACUUUUAAAAAAUAUUUUUAUCUUUGUAAAGUAUGCUAUCCGUACUACCAAGCUUUGUCAAAUUAAAGUGUCAUCUUGUUAUUUU